rnacentral:lncRNA from 1 species
GAAUUAAUGAUUCUUUAAAAGUCUAAAAUAAUAAGCAUAUUUAUAUGAACUAUGGUUGCAGCUGGUAUACAUUUUGGCAAUACAAAUAGUGUUAUAACAAUAUGGAAGGAUGGUAAAGUUGAUACAGUAUCUAAUGAAACUGGAGAUCGGAUAACUUCUACUGCUGUUGCUUACACGGGAACAGAAAAGAUAGUUGGUCAACCAGCCAAACAAUAUAUGGUUAAAAAUCCACUUAGUUGCAUUUCUAAUAUUAAAUCCUGUGUUGGACAAAG